rnacentral:rRNA from 1 species
CUUGAAAUAGGGCGUUAAAAGAUGUAGGUAUAUUUUCUAUAGGCAAAUCCGUAGAGAAUGCUGAAGUCCAACAGUACCAGGAGGCUCCGGCCGAAUGGAUAGAGAAUGUAAGCAGACUUCCGAGAAAAUCUUCUAAGCAUAUUGAUACGGUACCCGUACCGCAAACCGACACAGGUAGUCAAGGAGAGAAUCCUGAGGUGCUCGAGUGAGUCAUGGCUAAGGAACUAGGCAAAUUAAACCUGUAACUUCGGGAAAAGGGUUGCCUCUCUUUAGCAAUAAAGAAGGUCGCAGAGAAAUGGCCCAGGCGACUGUUUAACAAAAACACAUGGCUAUGCGAAAUCGUAAGAUGAAGUAUAUGGCCUGACACCUGCCCGGUGCUGGAAGGUUAAGGGGGGAAGUUAGUCGCAAGGCGAAGCUUUGAACUGAAGCCCCAGUAAACGGCGCCGUAACUAUAACGGUCCUAAGGUAGCGAAAUUCCUUGUCGGGUAAGUUCCGACCUGCACGAAUGGUGUAACGAUCUGGGCACUGUCUCAGCCAUGAGCUCGGUGAAAUUGUAGUCACGGUGAAGAUGCCGUGUACCCGUCACGGGACGGAAAGACCCCAUGCACCUUUACUAUAGCUUCGCAUUGACAUUGGGUAGAUGAUGUGUAGGAUAGGUGGGAGGCGUUGAUCCUGUGCCGCUAGGUAUAGGGGAGCCAACGGUGAAAUACCACCCUUUAUUUAUCUGAUGUCUAAUCCGCAAGACCUGCGGAGACAGUGCGUGGUGGGUAGUUUGACUGGGGUGGUCGCCUCCGAAAGUGUAUCGGAGGCUUUCAAAGGUAUGCUCAAUACGCUUGGUAACCGUAUGUGGAGUGCAAUAGCAUAAGCAUGCUUGACUGUGAGACUGACAAGUCGAGCAGGGUCGAAAGACGGAUAUAGUGAUCCGGUGGUUCUGUAUGGAAGGGCCAUCGCUCAAAGGAUAAAAGGUACGCUGGGAUAACAGGCUGAUCUCCCCCAAGAGCUCACAUCGACGGGGAGGUUUGGCACCUCGAUGUCGGCUCGUCACAUCCUGGGGCUGGAGAAGGUCCCAACGGUUAGGCUGUUCGCCUAUUAAAGUGGCACGCGAGCUGGGUUCAGAACGUCGUGAGACAGUUCGGUCCCUAUCUGUGAUGGGCGUAGGAAGUUUGAGAGGAUCUGACCUUAGUACGAGAGGACCGGGUUGGACCAACCGCUGGUGUACCGGUUGUGGCGUCAGCUGCAUCGCCGGGUAGCUGCGUUGGGACGAGAUAAGCGCUGAAAGUAUCUAAGCGCGAAACUCACCUCAAGAUGAGACUUCCAUUAAGGGACGUCAGAGACUAUGACGUUGAUAGGCUGCAGGUGUAAAGGCAGAAAUGUCAAAGCUGAGCAGUACUAAUUACCCAA